CGGUGGGAGCAUGUGGUUUAAUUCGAAGCAACGCGAAGAACUUACCAGGCCUUGACAUGCAGAGAACUUUCCAGAGAUGGAUUGGUGCCUUCGGGAACUCUGACACAGGUGCUGCAUGGCUGUCGUCAGCUCGUGUCGUGAGAUGUUGGGUUAAGUCCCGUAACGAGCGCAACCCUUGUCCUUAGUUACCAGCACGUUAUGGUGGGCACUCUAAGGAGACUGCCGGUGACAAACCGGAGGAAGGUGGGGGAUGACGUCAAGUCAUCAUGGCCCUUACGGCCUGGGCUACACACGUGCUACAAUGGUCGGUACAAAGGGUUGCCAAGCCGCGAGGUGGAGCUAAUCCCAUAAAACCGAUCGUAGUCCGGAUCGCAGUCUGCAACUCGACUGCGUGAAGUCGGAAUCGCUAGUAAUCGUGAAUCAGAAUGUCACGGUGAAUACGUUCCCGGGCCUU
rnacentral:rRNA from 1 species